GACGAACGCUGGCGGCGUGCUUAACACAUGCAAGUCGAGCGGAAAGGCCCUUCGGGGUACUCGCGCGGCGAACGGGCGAGUAACACGUGAGUAACCUGCCCCCGACUUUGGGAUAACCCUCGGAAACGGGGGCUAAUACCGGAUACGACACAGAUACGCAUGGGGUCUGUGUGGAAAGUUUAUCGGUUUGGGAUGGGCUCGCGGCCUAUCAGCUUGUUGGGGGGGUGCUGGCCUCCCAAGGCGACGACGGGUAGCCGGCCCGAGAGGGCGACCGGCCACACUGGUCCUGAGACACGCCCCAGACUCCUACGGGAGGCAGCGGUGGGGAAUAUUGCGCAACGGGCCGAAGCCUGAUGCAGCGACGCCGCGUUCGUGAUGACGGCCUUCGGGUUGUAAACCUCUUUCAGCAGGGACGAAGCGUAAGUGACGGUACCUGCAGAAGAAGCGCCGGCCAACUACGUG
rnacentral:rRNA from 1 species